AAAUAAACCAACUAAGGGAAGCGCGGAAUCAGGCAGCAAGUCUUUGUUUUAAUGCUGAAAUUGGACUUCAUGAGUUCUCUCUUCCAUCCCUGUUUAUGAAGAAUCUGGGGAAUAUGAUUGAAUUUUUCUAAAAAUUUAGAUCUUGAUGAUAAGAAAAGAAAUAUGGAAGAAUAUAUGACCAAAAGAAUGAGUUUCCUUUUCACCAUAGCCACAGAAAGUUGUUGACCUCCUUGGAUGAAAAAAAAGUCAUAAAGGAUCUAAAAAAGGGGAGAAACUGUUGGAUCCUGAGAUGGGGGAACUGGACCUAGAGUGACUACAAAGGAUCACCAGAAUUUUGUGGCAGGAUAUUUUGUUCUACCCAUGAAGUUGAUGAAGGAGGCCACUAAAGUCUGCUCUGGUUUCACUCAUCCUUGUCUUGCAUCUCUACUGGUAUAGAUGGAUUAAUUGCUAGGAACCCAGACUCUACUCCCUGCAAGGUCUGAAACCCAGAGAGCCAGGUGAAUUGGUUGGGUGACAAAUGCACUCACUGCGUAAAAGCAGCCCUUGAUGAUUCGGAUCAAAUACUCCUGCAGAAUAAUGACUUCUUUCCUUGUCUGCUGUUGUCUUGAAACCUGGAGGACGAAGUGACCAGGGAGCAGCUCUGCUUGAAUUUUAAUAAAGCUCUUCCUAUAGAGCUCAGAUUUGAAGGGACAAAAAGCACAAAUUCUCUAAAGAAAUUUCUGGGAGGGAUAGUAAGUGAGUUGGGCCUAUUGUGACUUUAAGUCACUUUUACUGUUACUGCAACUGUUUGAUAUUUCAAUUACCACAUCUGUAAAAAUAAAGUCCUUGGUUUGGAUGAUCAGUCUUUAAUAUUCUUUCCAUUACUGAUAAAGUAUGAUUUUUCCAUAUGAUCUAAGAUCAUACAUAUUUCAGAAACUUUGAAUAUAUGUUCAAGUAAGUAUCAAAAAGACUGAAAAAUUUACUAUUUGUGGUGAAUAUCCUCUUGAAAUGAAGCCCAUUUUGAGGGAUUGGAUAAUUCUGACUUCACUAUAAUAAUAAAAGACUAAGAUAAGAUAA